UACGUAGGUGGCAAGCGUUGUCCGGAUUUACUGGGCGUAAAGAGCGCGCAGGCGGUCGAGUAAGUCGAAUGUGAAAGCCCCCGGCUUAACUGGGGAACUGCACAGGAAACUAGCGGGCUUGAGCUCGGGAGAGGGAAGCGGAAUUCCGGGUGUAGCGGUGAAAUGCGUAGAUAUCCGGAGGAACAUCAGUGGCGAAAGCGGCUUCCUGGACCAGAACUGACGAUCAGGCACGAAAGCGUGGGGAGCAAACAGG
rnacentral:rRNA from 1 species